rnacentral:rRNA from 1 species
GAUGAACGCUGGCGGCGUGCCUAAUACAUGCAAGUCGAGCGAACGGACGAGAAGCUUGCUUCUCUGAUGUUAGCGGCGGACGGGUGAGUAACACGUGGAUAACCUACCUAUAAGACUGGGAUAACUUCGGGAAACCGGAGCUAAUACCGGAUAAUAUUUUGAACCGCAUGGUUCAAAAGUGAAAGACGGUCUUGCUGUCACUUAUAGAUGGAUCCGCGCUGCAUUAGCUAGUUGGUAAGGUAACGGCUUACCAAGGCAACGAUGCAUAGCCGACCUGAGAGGGUGAUCGGCCACACUGGAACUGAGACACGGUCCAGACUCCUACGGGAGGCAGCAGUAGGGAAUCUUCCGCAAUGGGCGAAAGCCUGACGGAGCAACGCCGCGUGAGUGAUGAAGGUCUUCGGAUCGUAAAACUCUGUUAUUAGGGAAGAACAUAUGUAUAAGUAACUGUGCACAUCUUGACUGUACCUAAUCAGAAAGCCACGGCUAACUACGUG